rnacentral:rRNA from 1 species
ACGAAGGGUGCAAACGUUGCUCGGAAUUAUUGGGCGUAAAGCGCACGUAGGCGGCUUAGCAAGUCGGAAGUGAAAUCCCUCGGCUCAACCAAGGAAGUGCUUUCGAAACUGCUGAGCUUGAGUACUAAAGAGGAUCGCGGAAUUCCCGGUGUAGAGGUGAAAUUCGUAGAUAUCGGGAGGAACACCGGUGGCGAAGGCGGCCAUCUGGACGGAUACUGACGCUGAGACGCGAAAGCGUGGGUAGCAAACAGGA